CAUAGCGACUAUCGUGGCAUAUCAAUAAGCGGAGGAAAAGAAACUAACAAGGAUUCCCUUAGUAACGGCGAGUGAAGCGGGAAGAGCUCAAAUUUGAAAUCUUCAAGGUUCUACCUUGACGAAUUGUAGUUUAUAGAAGUGUUUUCUGUUAGUGGAGUGGCAAAAGUUCUUUGGAAUAGGACAUCAUAGAGGGUGAGAAUCCCGUAUUUGACCAUUAUUUCCAGCUGUGUGAUACACUUUCAAAGAGUCGGAUUGUUUGGGAAUGCAGUCCAAAAUGGGUGGUAAAUUUCAUCUAAAGCUAAAUAUUGGCGAGAGACCGAUAGCGAACAAGUACCGUGAGGGAAAGAUGAAAAGAACUUUGAAAAGAGAGUUAAACAGUACGUGAAAUUGUCAAAAGGGAAGCGUUUGACACCAGUGUUGUUUUCUCGAAAAUCAAUUAAAAAUGCAGGAUUUUGUGUUGUAUUGACUUUAUCAGCUUUCUGCACUCUUUUCUUAUCUUUUUUAAUGCACUUUUCGUUUAACAAGUCAACAUCAAUUUCUUUUGUUGUAAAAGGGUCAUUGGAAGGUGGCUUUCUUUUCGGAGAAAGUGUUUAUAGCCUUUGGCCUCUGCAAUCGGAGAGAUUGAGGUCUGCAGCGUAGAUCCUUCGGGGUUAGAUACAUUUGUGCUAAGUUAUAGCCUUUCAUAGACAACUUGUUGACUAUGAUCAGUCAUGUAGCUUACUCGCUUAUGCUAUUUUACCUACGCUUAGGAUGUUGACGAGACUGUCGAUCUC
rnacentral:rRNA from 1 species